ensembl:lncRNA
CCACGUUGUCCGGGGACGCCAUGAGAUGGUGCCGCGUUGUGAGGUGAGUCUGAGGCGAUGUUGUGUUGUGAGACUGCGCCGUGUUGUGGGGUGACUGUGAGACAGCACCGUGUUGUGAGGGGUCACCACGUUGUGGGGUGACGCCGUGUCGUGAGGCGGCGCCAUGUUGUGAGGCGGCGCCACGUUGUCCGGGGACUCCAUGAGAUGGUGCCGCGUUGUGAGGUGAGUGUGAGGCGAUGUUGUGUUAUGAGGCUGCGCCGUGUUGUGGGGUGACUCUGUGAGGCAGCACUGUGUUGUGAGGGGUCACCACAUUGUGGGGUGACGCCAUGUUGUGGAGCGAUGCUGUGGGGGGACGCUGUGAGGCGGUGCCAUGUUGUGAAGAGGUGCUGCAAAACUUCUUACAUGAGCAGCAAAGGAUUCUUUUGCCAUGUUACUGCCAAAGCUAUCUAUCUGCUCUUUAAAACAGCAGGGCAGUGGCAUGGGCUGCCCUGGGCCUUGCAGCCCAGCGCACACCUCCAGGCUCCCAAACCCUGCGGGUGCUCUCUC